GCCAACUUAGCUCAGUUGGUAGAGCAACGGUUUCGUAAACCGUAGGUCGCUGGUUCGAGUCCAGUAGUUGGCU
rnacentral:tRNA from 2 species